CACUAUCGUUAACUGAAUACAUAGGUUAACGAGGCGAACCGGGGGAACUGAAACAUCUAAGUACCCCGAGGAAAAGAAAUCAACCGAGAUUCCCCCAGUAGCGGCGAGCGAACGGGGAGCAGCCCAGAGUCUGAAUCAGCUUGUGUGUUAGUGGAACGGUCUGGAAAGUCCGACGGUACAGGGUGAUAGUCCCGUACACCAAAAUGCACAGGCUGUGAACUCGAAGAGUAGGGCGGGACACGUGGUAUCCUGUCUGAAUAUGGGGGGACCAUCCUCCAAGGCUAAAUACUCCUGACUGACCGAUAGUGAACCAGUACCGUGAGGGAAAGGCGAAAAGAACCCCGGCGAGGGGAGUGAAAAAGAACCUGAAACCGUGUACGUACAAGCAGUGGGAGCACCUUCGGGUGUGACUGCGUACCUUUUGUAUAAUGGGUCAGCGACUUAUAUUCUGUAGCAAGGUUAACCGUAUAGGGGAGCCGCAGGGAAACCGAGUCUUAACUGGGCGUUAAGUUGCAGGGUAUAGACCCGAAACCCGGUGAUCUAGCCAUGGGCAGGUUGAAGGUUGGGUAACACUAACUGGAGGACCGAACCGACUAAUGUUGAAAAAUUAGCGGAUGACUUGUGGCUGGGGGUGAAAGGCCAAUCAAACCGGGAGAUAGCUGGUUCUCCCCGAAAGCUAUUUAGGUAGCGCCUCGUGAAUUCAUCUUCGGGGGUAGAGCACUGUUUCGGCUAGGGGGUCAUCCCGACUUACCAACCCGAUGCAAACUACGAAUACCGAAGAAUGUUAUCACGGGAGACACACGGCGGGUGCUAACGUCCGUCGUGAAGAGGGAAACAACCCAGACCGCCAGCUAAGGUCCCAAAGUCAUGGUUAAGUGGGAAACGAUGUGGGAAGGCACAGACAGCCAGGAUGUUGGCUUAGAAGCAGCCAUCAUUUAAAGAAAGCGUAAUAGCUCACUGGUCGAGUCGGCCUGCGCGGAAGAUGUAACGGGGCUAAAC
rnacentral:rRNA from 1 species